UACGAAGGGGGCUAGCGUUGUUCGGAAUCACUGGGCGUAAAGCGCACGUAGGCGGAUUUGUUAGUCAGGGGUGAAAUCCCGGGGCUCAACCUCGGAACUGCCUCUGAUACUGCAAAUCUCGAGUCCGAUAGAGGUGAGUGGAAUUCCUAGUGUAGAGGUGAAAUUCGUAGAUAUUGGGAAGAACACCAGUGGCGAAGGCGGCUAACUGGUCCGAUACUGACGCUGAGGUGCGAAAGCGUGGGGAGCAAACAGG
rnacentral:rRNA from 1 species